rnacentral:rRNA from 1 species
UACGGAGGGUGCAAGCAUUAAUCGGAUUUAUUGGGCGUAAAGGGCGCGUAGGCGGGGAUGGAAGUCAGAUGUGAAAUUCCGGGGCUCAACCUCGGAGCAGCAUUUGAAACUUUAUUUCUAGAGGAUAGGCGGAGGAAAUGGAAUUCCACAAGUAGCGGUGAAAUGCGUAGAUAUGUGGAGGAACACCAAAGGCGAAGGCAGUGUCCUGGGGAGUACCUGACGCUCAGGUGCGAAAGCCAGGGGAGCGAACGGG